AGAAUCAACGCUGGCGGCGUGCCUAACACAUGCAAGUCGAACGAGAAAGUGGGAGCAAUCCCACGAGUAAAGUGGCGCACGGGUGAGUAACACGUGACUAACCUACUCUUGAGUGGGGGAUAACCUAGGGAAACCUGGGCUAAUACCGCAUAAUACCUACGGGUCAAAGGAGCAAUUCGCUUUAGGAGGGGGUCGCGGCAGAUUAGUUAGUUGGCGGGGUAAUGGCCCACCAAGACAGUGAUCUGUA
rnacentral:rRNA from 1 species